CAAUAGCGUAUAUUAACGUUGUUGCAGUUAAAAAGCUCGUAGUUGGAUUUCUGGAGGGAGCGUCGGCCCGUAUUUACGAGUGCGUGACGUCUCUGUCCAUCCUUGCGGGAAUGCACGGCAUUGAUUUGUUGUGUCGGAUCGCAUCAUUUACUGUGAAAAAAUUAGAGUGUUCAAAGCAGGCUUUCGCUUGAAUACAUUAGCAUGGAAUAAUAAGAUAGGACUUUGGUGCUAUUUUGUUGGUUGAGCCUAAAGUAAUGAUUAAUAGGGAUAGUUGGGGGCACCUGUAUUGCGUUGUCAGAGGUGAAAUUCUUGGAUUUACGCAAGACAAACAGCUGCGAAAGCGUCUGCCAAGGAUGUUUUCAUUA
rnacentral:rRNA from 1 species